CUGACCGAUGGUAAUCCCCUUCCUCGGUGCAUCCUUCCUGACGUUCCUUGCUUCCUGCAUGUCCUCCUUUUCGACAUCUCGACCCAAUCGAUGCCUCCUACACCGCGGCCUCUCUUCCCCUGUGAUCGCCGCGACCCCACCGGUGUCUCCUAUGCCGUGGCCUCGAGCCAGUCGCCCAGCCCCACCUCGCCCGUGGCUGCCCCGACAUUGCCGAUGCCUCCUAUGCCACAGCCUCACCUCACCACGAUCGACUCGACUCCAUCGAUACCUCCUAC
rnacentral:lncRNA from 1 species